GGUAAGCACACUGCAAUUGACAUAUGAAGUCAAGUCAUGACGUAUUUCCGGGGGAAAGACGUCAUCAGCAAAGGGCUGACAGAGUGGAAGGGUGUUCUCCAGCAUCAUGGAGUCCGUACGUUAAUACUAAAUCCAAGGAAAAAACAGGCAAUCAACCGCAAAUCCGUAAUGGGGUGAUAACAUUUGGAUCGAACACGUCGUGGCUAUCUCCUUUGGAAGAGACGCUAGAGGAGCCCCACCAAUCACAAGGAGAAGUUUCCGUGAAGGAUGCGCCCGGGAGUUCAUCCAGAUGUUCCCCCGCACAUGUGGCCGGCUCCCUCCUGGCCUGCAGCGCCCGAGAUGAAAGAGGGGGG